rnacentral:rRNA from 1 species
UACGGGGGGAGCAAGCGUUGUUCGGAUUUACUGGGCGUAAAGGGCGCGUAGGCGGCCACCGCAAGUCAGUUGUGAAAUCUCUGGGCUUAACCCAGAACGGUCAGCUGAUACUGCGGGGCUAGAGUGCAGAAGGGGCAACUGGAAUUCUCGGUGUAGCGGUGAAAUGCGUAGAUAUCGGGAGGAACACCGGUGGCGAAGGCGGCGACCUGGGUAGAUACUGACGCUGAGGUGCGAAAGCGUGGGGAGCAAACAGG